rnacentral:rRNA from 1 species
UACGGGGGGAGCAAGCGUUGUUCGGAUUUACUGGGCGUAAAGGGCGGGUAGGCGGCCACCGCAAGUCAGUUGUGAAAUCUCUGGGCUUAACCCAGAAAGGUCAACUGAUACUGCGGGGCUAGAGUGCAGAAGGGGCAACUGGAAUUCUCGGUGUAGCGGUGAAAUGCGUAGAUAUCGAGAGGAACACCUGCGGCGAAGGCGGGUUGCUGGGCUGACGCUGACGCUGAACUGCGAAAGCUAGGGGAGCGAACGGG